AUGCCAGGGGCGGUGAUGGAGUUAAACACACGGGUGGCAGCAGCGGCACCAGCAAGACGCAGUCCAGCUACUUGUUCUAACCGUUUCCUGCUGGAGGGAUGUCCAUCUCCCCUGUUAGUUGGAAAUGACAGGCUCCUGGACCUCGUGGGAAGCCCCGAGCUACUCGAUUCGUUGGUUCCCAUCCCUGCACUCCGUUCUGAAGGCUUCUCAUCUCGGGAAUUCAUGGGCUCAGGCAAUGCGUGUCACCCCCAGUCUAGGAGGUGUGACAGCCACCCCGCCUGGCACGAAAUGAAACAGAAUGGGAUUAACUCUUUGUUGCCCAGCAAGGACCUCUAGUCCCCAAAGACCUAAAAAUCUGGGGUCUCCCCUACAGGGGGAGGGCUCCUCAUGGGGAGGCCUUUGUUCCCUCCAGCUCCCCAGGGAAGACACAGAGAUCUCAGGGCGCCCCUGCGGGGCCCCCCUGGGCCAGCUGUCGGGACCAGGUUCCUGCCAGCUGUUCUGCCGGGUGAUGGGGCAGCCGCCUUAAGGCCCCUCUAGCUGCAGACGCCAGGCCCUGGAUGAGGACACUGCAGUCUGGCUGUUUCUUCUUGCGAACACUGACGGCAUCCUGAACAUCUUUGCAAAGUGAAUCUUCACUGACUAGCAGCUGAAGGAGAGCCGCACGGGCUGGUUCCUGAGCUGUUUUCCAUCCAAUCCUCAAGGUGACAGCGGUGGUGAUGAAGGUGCUAAUGACCGUUGUAAAGCCCUCAGAAGCUCCCAUUUAUUGCCCUGUUUGGCUAAAGACCUGGCAGAUCAUCAAGGCCUCCUGGCUUUUUACUACUGCAGGCCGGAGGCCGGCUAAGUGGCUCGUGUGCGUUGGAGCACUUCCUCUCCCCACUGUCUAAACAUCUCAUCAUCUUUAGAAACAAGCAUUCAGAGAGGUGAAGAACUCGUCCAAGGCCGGACGGCCAGCAGUGGCAGAGCCGAAGCUGGUACCGGGUCUGUCUGCGUGAAGGGGGCACUUGGCUGUGCUCCUGACCCUCCGUGCCCAUGGCGGGCUGCCUGGGCGCUCUGCCGGUGUCCUUCCUGCGGGGCCCCUCGGGCAGGGGUGGAAGGAGUGGGGGGCCUGUGUCAGCCCCGCCAGCAGGGAGGACGGAGCCGGGAGGCGGGUUGUCUAUUGAUUGACUGAAAUUGGAUUUGUUGACACAAACUGCCAGCGUUUCACUGUGAUGAAAGGAUUGCCCACCAGCCUCAUAACAAGCUGAGAUUUCCCUGAGGGCUGCCCGAGCUGCUGGUGCGGUUCUUUGUCAGGAGAAGAAAGCAAUUAGGAGGGUGGGGGAGGUUAUUAGGCCUUAUU
rnacentral:lncRNA from 1 species